AUUGAACGCUGGCGGCAUGCCUUACACAUGCAAGUCGAACGGCAGCACGGGUGCUUGCACCUGGUGGCGAGUGGCGAACGGGUGAGUAAUACAUCGGAACAUGUCCUGUAGUGGGGGGUAGCCCGGCGAAAGCCGGAUUAAUACCGCAUACGAUCUACGGAUGAAAGCGGGGGACCUUCGGGCCUCGCGCUAUAGGGUUGGCCGAUAGCUGAUUAGCUAGUUGGUGGGGUAAAGGCCUACCAAGGCGACGAUCAGUAGCUGGUCUGAGAGGACGACCAGCCACACUGGGACUGAGACACGGCCCAGACUCCUACGGGAGGCAGCAGUGGGGAAUUUUGGACAAUGGGCGAAAGCCUGAUCCAGCAAUGCCGCGUGUGUGAAGAAGGCCUUCGGGUUGUAAAGCACUUUUGUCCGGAAAGAAAUCCUUGGCUCUAAUACAGUCGGGGGAUGACGGUACCGGAAGAAUAAGCACCGGCUAACUACGUG
rnacentral:rRNA from 1 species